GACGAACGCUGGCGGCGUGCUUAACACAUGCAAGUCGAACGGAAAGGCCCUGCUUUUGUGGGGUGCUCGAGUGGCGAACGGGUGAGUAACACGUGAAUAACCUGCCCUUGACUUUGGGAUAACUUCAGGAAACUGGGGCUAAUACCGGAUAGGAGCUCCUGCUGCAUGGUGGGGGUUGGAAAGUUUCGGCGGUUGGGGGUGGACUCGCGGCUUAUCAGCUUGUUGGUGGGGUAGUGGCUUACCAAGGCUUUGACGGGUAGCCGGCCUGAGAGGGUGACCGGCCACAUUGGGACUGAGAUACGGCCCAGACUCCUACGGGAGGCAGCAGUGGGGAAUAUUGCACAAUGGGCGGAAGCCUGAUGCAGCAACGCCGCGUGCGGGAUGACGGCCUUCGGGUUGUAAACCGCUUUCGCCUGUGACGAAGCGUGAGUGACGGUAAUGGGUAAAGAAGCACCGGCUAACUACGUG
rnacentral:rRNA from 1 species